rnacentral:rRNA from 1 species
UGGGGAAUUUUGGACAAUGGGGGGAAACCCUGAUCCAGCCAUCCCGCGUGUGCGAUGAAGGCCUUCGGGUUGUAAAGCACUUUUGGCAGGAAAGAAACGUCGCGGGUUAAUACCCCGCGAAACUGACGGUACCUGCAGAAUAAGCACCGGCUAACUACGUGCCAGCAGCCGCGGUAAUACGUAGGGUGCAAGCGUUAAUCGGAAUUACUGGGCGUAAAGCGUGCGCAGGCGGUUCGGAAAGAAAGAUGUGAAAUCCCAGAGCUUAACUUUGGAACUGCAUUUUUAACUACCGGGCUAGAGUGUGUCAGAGGGAGGUGGAAUUCCGCGUGUAGCAGUGAAAUGCGUAGAUAUGCGGAGGAACACCGAUGGCGAAGGCAGCCUCCUGGGAUAACACUGACGCUCAUGCACGAAAGCGUGGGGAGCAAACAGGAUUAGAUACCCUGGUAGUCCACGCCCUAAACGAUGUCAACUAGUUGUUGGGGGAUUCAUUUUCCUUAGUAACGUAGCUAACGCGUGAAGUUGACCGCCUGGGGAGUACGUCGCAAGAUUAAAACUCAAAUGAAUUGCGGGGGUCNUAGCUGUUU